GCUAUAUUCAGAGGAGCGAGGUCUUUCCACUGCCGUUUCGUGGUGUCAUACGCACAUACUCGAUUCACACAUUCCCUGCAAAGCAAAGUUGUUUAAUGUAGAGAUUAUUUCAUCGUGGGACACUAUUCCAUGACCAUACACCGGAUAGAGUUCUCGGCCUCACCCAUCCCAAACAGGAAGCGGGGGGAGGGGAUGGGAGGCAUGCCCAUCCAGUCGGAGCUUGCCGGAUCAAACUGCCGGGAAAGAGGAGGCAGUCGAACCAGUUCCGCUUUGCUGCCUGCCAGACUUUAUCAGCUGUCUCAAUACUUCAACCAAACUCCAGCUGAGGGCUAUUUAUAGACACUACACCUUCACAAAGAUGUGGAAUCCAUACUUGUACAUGUGAAAUACAACCCCCCCACCCGUCCUGUGCAACAGCUGACGCUCUGCCUCAUGGGAGACUGUCCCAGAACACCAGCCCUAAAGGCUGGGCGGCAGCAGCAUCUAUCUGCGUGGUACUGGGAACUGUGGUGGUGGUGGUACUGGGUGCAUUUGUGGGUGGAGGAACAGGGGCAGGUGGGGGGAUUGGGUCUGGAU